rnacentral:snRNA from 1 species
AGUUUUGCACAGUGGCAGUAUCAUAGCCAAUGAGGUUUAUCUGAGGUGCGAUUAUUGCUAAUUAAAAAAUAAUGUGUAAAACCAGUUUUCAUAAAUUAAAUAAUUUUUUUUGAAACUACUAUAUGCACUCUAAAGAA